rnacentral:miRNA from 1 species
AUUUACAAAUUUUUAAAAAAUUUAAAAAUUAUUUGAUACUUCAUUUUAUUAAUUCAAAUCAAUAUGUAAAAUGAUUUUACGAUUAUCCAUCAAUUUGAAUUAAUGAAAUGAAUUAUUAAAUAAUUUUUAAAUUUUUAAAAAAAUUUACAGA